UACGGAGGGUGCAAACGUUGCUCGGAAUCAUUGGGCGUAAAGCGCACGUAGGCGGCUCGUUAAGUCGGAUGUGAAAGCCCCGGGCUCAACUCGGGAAGUGCAUUCGAAACUGGCGAGCUUGAAUAUGGAAGAGGGUCGCGGAAUUCCCGGUGUAGAGGUGAAAUUCGUAGAUAUCGGGAGGAACACCAGUGGCGAAGGCGGCGACCUGGGCCAAUAUUGACGCUGAGGUGCGAAAGCGUGGGGAGCGAACAGG
rnacentral:rRNA from 1 species